AUGAACGCUAGCUACAGGCUUAACACAUGCAAGUCGAGGGGCAUCAGGAAGAAAGCUUGCUUUCUUUGCUGGCGACCGGCGCACGGGUGAGUAACACGUAUCCAACCUGCCCUUUACUCGGGGAUAGCCUUUCGAAAGAAAGAUUAAUACCCGAUGGCAUAAUGAUUCCGCAUGGUUUCAUUAUUAAAGGAUUCCGGUAAAGGAUGGGGAUGCGUUCCAUUAGGUUGUUGGUGAGGUAACGGCUCACCAAGCCUUCGAUGGAUAGGGGUUCUGAGAGGAAGGUCCCCCACAUUGGAACUGAGACACGGUCCAAACUCCUACGGGAGGCAGCAGUGAGGAAUAUUGGUCAAUGGGCGCUAGCCUGAACCAGCCAAGUAGCGUGAAGGAUGAAGGCUCUAUGGGUCGUAAACUUCUUUUAUAUAAGAAUAAAGUGCAGUAUGUAUACUGUUUUGUAUGUAUUAUAUGAAUAAGGAUCGGCUAACUCCGUGCCAGCAGCCGCGGUAAUACGGAGGAUCCGAGCGUUAUCCGGAUUUAUUGGGUUUAAAGGGAGCGUAGGUGGACUGGUAAGUCAGUUGUGAAAGUUUGCGGCUCAACCGUAAAAUUGCAGUUGAUACUGUCAGACUUGAGUACAGUAGAGGUGGGCGGAAUUCGUGGUGUAGCGGUGAAAUGCUUAGAUAUCACGAAGAACUCCGAUUGCGAAGGCAGCUCACUGGACUGCAACUGACACUGAUGCUCGAAAGUGUGGGUAUCAAACAGGAUUAGAUACCCUGGUAGUCCACACAGUAAACGAUGAAUACUCGCUGUUUGCGAUAUACAGUAAGCGGCCAAGCGAAAGCAUUAAGUAUUCCACCUGGGGAGUACGCCGGCAACGGUGAAACUCAAAGGAAUUGACGGGGGCCCGCACAAGCGGAGGAACAUGUGGUUUAAUUCGAUGAUACGCGAGGAACCUUACCCGGGCUUAAAUUGCAGUGGAAUGAUGUGGAAACAUGUCAGUGAGCAAUCACCGCUGUGAAGGUGCUGCAUGGUUGUCGUCAGCUCGUGCCGUGAGGUGUCGGCUUAAGUGCCAUAACGAGCGCAACCCUUAUCUUUAGUUACUAACAGGUCAUGCUGAGGACUCUAGAGAGACUGCCGUCGUAAGAUGUGAGGAAGGUGGGGAUGACGUCAAAUCAGCACGGCCCUUACGUCCGGGGCUACACACGUGUUACAAUGGGGGGUACAGAAGGCAGCUAGCGGGUGACCGUAUGCUAAUCCCAAAAUCCUCUCUCAGUUCGGAUCGAAGUCUGCAACCCGACUUCGUGAAGCUGGAUUCGCUAGUAAUCGCGCAUCAGCCACGGCGCGGUGAAUACGUUCCCGGGCCUUGUACACACCGCCCGUCAAGCCAUGGGAGCCGGGGGUACCUGAAGUACGUAACCGCAAGGAUCGUCCUAGGGUAAAACUGGUGACUGGGGCU
rnacentral:rRNA from 1 species